GGCCUGGUUGGGUGGUCUUGCCGCAAGGUAAGCACUGCUCCGAUCGGGUCUUUCCUUCUGGGGAACCAGCGUGCUCUUAAUUGGGUGCGUUGGGGAUCCAGGACUUUUACCUUGAGAAAAUUAGAGUGUUCAAAGCAGGCAUUUGCCCGAAUACAUUAGCAUGGAAUAAUGAAAUAGGAC
rnacentral:rRNA from 1 species